GAUGAGUCCGCGGCCCAUCAGCUAGUUGGCGGGGUAAUGGCCCACCAAGGCUACGACGGGUAGCUGGUCUGAGAGGACGAUCAGCCACACUGGAACUGAGACACGGUCCAGACUCCUACGGGAGGCAGCAGUGGGGAAUAUUGGACAAUGGGCGCAAGCCUGAUCCAGCCAUGCCGCGUGAGUGAUGAAGGCCCUAGGGUUGUAAAGCUCUUUCACCGGUGAAGAUAAUGACGGUAACCGGAGAAGAAGCCCCGGCUAAC
rnacentral:rRNA from 1 species